AUUGCAUCACAAAAUCAUGUUCAUAACUAAAUUAAAAAUUACCUGGAAAUGAGGAAAUCUGUUGCUUUCUCUCAGAGCUCGAAGGACAACGCUUCAACGCUUCAACGCUUCGCUACUGCUUUCUCAGAGGCAGAGCUCGACGGAGGUGACAUGCGAAGUGGCUGAGGGCGUGAGUGCGACGGCGGUGAGUGCGUUGAGGGCCUCCUGGAGUCGUGGGUAACUGGGUGGUGUUCUGUUCUGUGGGAGGCUGGAGUUGAGAACUGAGAAGAUGGAGGAACGAGGAAGUGGAGGCU